GACGAACGCUGGCGGCGUGCCUAACACAUGCAAGUCGAACGGUAAGGCCCUUCGGGGUACACGAGUGGCGAACGGGUGAGUAACACGUGGGUGAUCUGCCCUGCACUUCGGGAUAAGCCUGGGAAACUGGGUCUAAUACCGGAUAGGACUCCUGGCUUCAUGGUUGGGGGUGGAAAGCUUUUGCGGUGUGGGAUGGGCCCGCGGCCUAUCAGCUUGUUGGUGGGGUAAUGGCCUACCAAGGCGACGACGGGUAGCCGGCCUGAGAGGGUGACCGGUCACACUGGGACUGAGGUACGGCCCAGACUCCUACGGGAGGCAGCAGUGGGGAAUAUUGCACAAUGGGCGCAAGCCUGAUGCAGCGACGCCGCGUGAGGGAUGACGGCCUUCGGGUUGUAAACCUCUUUCAGCUAUGACGAAGCGCAAGUGACGGUAGUAGCAGAAGAAGGACCGGCCAACUACGUGCCAGCAGCCGCCGCAG
rnacentral:rRNA from 1 species